rnacentral:rRNA from 1 species
GAAAGAUUCAUCGGAAGAGGAUGGGCAUGCGGCGCAUUAGCUAGACGGCGGGGUAACGGCCCACCGUGGCGACGAUGCGUAGGGGUUCUGAGAGGAAGGUCCCCCACACUGGUACUGAGACACGGACCAGACUCCUACGGGAGGCAGCAGUGAGGAAUAUUGGUCAAUGGGAGAGAUCCUGAACCAGCCAAGCCGCGUGAGGGAAGACGGCCCUAUGGGUUGUAAACCUCUUUUGUCGGAGAACAAAACCCGGGACGAGUCCCGGACUGCGUGUAUCCGAAGAAAAAGCAUCGGCUAACUCCGUGCCAGCAGCCGCGGUAAUACGGAGGAUGCGAGCGUUAUCCGGAUUUAUUGGGUUUAAAGGGUGCGUAGGCGGUCCGUUAAGUCAGCGGUAAAAUUGCGGGGCUCAACCCCGUCGAGCCGUUGAAACUGGCAGACUUGAGUUGGCGAGAAGUACGCGGAAUGCGCGGUGUAGCGGUGAAAUGCAUAGAUAUCGCGCAGAACUCCGAUUGCGAAGGCAGCGUACCGGCGCCACACUGACGCUGAGGCACGAAAGCGUGGGGAUCGAACAGGAUUAGAUACCCUGGUAGUCCACGCAGUAAACGAUGAAUGCUGGUUGUCCGGGUCGAAUGAGACCUGG